UGUUCGGCAUCAAACGUCGGUCGGUCACGUGGACUUCUACAUCAACGGCGGCGAAGACCAGCCGGGCUGCCCAAAAACCAUCCUGCAGGGGAAGGAGUUUGUGAUCUGCGACCACCAGCGCUCCUCGUUUCUGUUCCUGGCGUCGAUGCGAGCUCCGUGUAGCACUGCGGCGUUCCCCUGCGCAUCGCGAGAGGCCCUGCGGGAGGGUCUAUGCUCCGACUGCAAACGUCGGACCAAUCGGGGUCUGUCCCCUGCUAGGCUACUGGGUAGAGCGCUGGCUGCCCCCCCAGCGCGUCAACUUCAGCGGAGUGGCCGCCUACGCAGAGACAUCCAACAACUCUCCCUUCUGUGCCGUCUACUACGAGGUGGAGGUGAGCGUGGGGGGUGAGGAGUGGUGGAGUGGGGUGAGUGGCCACCUGUCCCUGCGUCUGGUGGGGGUGACUCACGUCACCUCACUCACUCACCUGUCGAGCUCCCCGCUGUGGUUCGGCCGCGGGGAUUCGGUGCUCCGCGUGGUGGCGGUGGACUCGGACCCCGGUGAAGUCGUCACCGUCCUCGCCACCUUCGUGCCUGCCGGCGUGCGGCGCCGGUACCGGCGCGGGGUGAGCCUCGCGGUGAGCCGGCUACGGCUGGCGGGGGUACCUCGACUGGGAGCAAGGGAGUCGUUCUGCACUGGGGCUGUGACGCUGCUGGAGGACAAGACGGUGGCGAUUCCCGCGACUCGCUGCUAGGGGCGUCUGUCUGUGUGUCUGUCUGUGUGUCUGUCUGUCUGCCUGUCUGUCUGCCUGUCUGUUUGUCUGUCUGUUUGUCCGUCUCUCUGUCUGCCUGUCUGUCCGUGUGUCUGUCUGUCUCUCUCUCUGUCUGUCUGUCUGUCUGCCUGCCUGUCUGUCUUUCUGUCUCUCUGUCUCUCUGUCUGUGUGUCUCUCUGUCUGCCUGUCUGUCUCUCUGUCUGUCUGUGUGUCUCUCUGUCUGUCUGUCUGUCUGCCUGUCUGUCUGUCUCUCCGUGUGUCUGUCUGUCUGUCUGCGUGUCUGUCUGCCUGUCCGUCUGUCUCUCUGUCUGUCUGUCUGCCUAUCUCUCUGUCUGUCUGCCUGCCUGUCUGUCUUUCUGUGUGCCUGUCUGCCUGUGUGCCUGCCUGUUUGUCUGUCUGUCUGUUUGUCUGUCUGUUUGAGUGUCUGCCUGUCCGUCUGUCUCUCUGUCUGUCUGUCCAUUUGUUUCUCUGUCUGUCUGUCUGCCUGUCUCUCUGUCUGUCUGCCUGUCUCUCUGUCUGUCUGUCUGCCCGUCUGCCUGUUUGUCUGUCCGUGUGUCUGCCUGUCUGUCUGUCUCUGUGUCUCUCUGUCUGUCUGCCUGUCUGUCUCUCUGUCUGUCUCUCCGUCUGUCUCUCUGUCUCUCUGUCUGUCUGUCCGUCUUCCUGCCUGUCUGCCUGUCUGUCCGUGUGUCACGCCGGGGGGUGUCGCGGUUGACAUCUUGCGGAGUCCACCCGACACGAGCGGUGGACUUUGGCGCGUUGCUGCUCAUGGGAGAUAAGCGGAGCUAGUCGAUCGCUUCGGAUGCCCCCGACAAUUUGGGGAGGAGAGAGAAGAGAGGUGACGGGGAGCUCUGCAUGCUGUUAUGAGCUACCCGUCGGAGGCCAUAGGACUGCGAGGGGGGCGUCGUACAGAACGAGAGAGUGAGCGAGAGAAUGAGCGAGAGAGAGAGCGAGCGAGUAAGAGAGAGAGCGAGCGAGCGAGAGAGCGAGCGAGAGAGAGAGAGCGAGCGAGCGAGGGCUACAUAAAGCUCCGUUUAAAAAAAAAAAAAAUUUACGAAAUGAUGAACGAAACAAAGUGCCGAAUACACCGAGCAUCUUCUUGUUUCCACUGAUCGUAAAAAAAAAAAAAGAGAGGAGAGGAGAGAGGGGAGAGAGGAGAGAGAGGAGAGAGAGGAGAGAGAGAGGAGAGAGAGAGAGGAGAGAUGACACGCAAAUUCGUGAAGCGUUCCAUAUUUUUAAAUCCUUUAUAUUAAGUUCACUCGCUUGCUUGCUUAGGACCGUGCAAAUCUUUCGGUCGUUUUUUAACCCACUUCCCGUGAUCCAAUCGAGCUGACAUUUUCCACACAGACUCGUUGUGCGUGACAAUUAAUGUUCGUGAAUUUUUUUUCCAAAAUUUUACACUGUUUAGGGAAAACAAAUUAAAUAUUUAAUUACCAAUUGUUUAAUACUGGCAGACAAUCAUCUGACCCAUAGGUGGCAGCCAUCUCAAGCCAGAGGACGAGAGGACUCUAGCCGCCACGCAUAUAAAGGAUUUAGAGUGAAAAACUUUGUUUUUACGGGUUAUACUUGUUAAUAUGAAUCCCUGCAGUCACGAAAGCUUUAAAUCGAACCUACUUGCUCUACUGCCAUGAUUUGGAGAGUAUGAGAGUUUCACAAAAGCAGUUAACUCUCAAUUUCUAUGAGUUGCUGAUUUACCAUGCUUGCCAAUUAAAACAAAACAACAACAACAACAACGUAUCUUCACACGUGUAUCAUUAGCUGGUCUUCACUAUUCUUGGUUCUUUCGGUAAAGUCAUCACGUAGAAGGGAAGUAAUAAAAUAAUAAAAAUAAAACAUAAUAAAAUAAUUUUCACGACGUUUCGGCCACAACGCAAGCAGCCGUCCUCAGGUGGAGAACAGCGUCUGUCGAGGCGACAGCGUCUGGAUAAUUUUAUUAUGUUUUAUUUUUAAUUAUUUUAUUAUUUCCCUUCUACGUGACUUUACCGAAAGAACCAAGAAGAUGAAUCCCUGCGGUCACGAAAGCUUUACAUCGAAUUUUAUUUUUAUUAUUUUAUUAUUUCUCUUCUUCGUGACUUUACCAAAAGAACCAAAAAGAUGAAUCCCUGCAGUCACGAAAGAAGCUUAAAAUCGAAAUUAUUUAAUUAUGUUUUAUUUUUAUUAUUUUAUUAUUUCCCUUCUACGUGACUUUACCGAAAGAACCAAGAAGAUGAAUCCCUGCUGCAGUCACAAAAGAAGCUUUAAAUCGAAAUCUAUGGUCCUCACUCGUUGGGGGCCAGUGACUCGGUAACCGCCAACAUGUCGUCAAGGAAACUGAUUAAGCAGAAAUAAAAUCCGGUAACACAUUCUAAGUAAAGUCACGUAGAAGGGAAGUAAUAAAAUAAAAAAAAUAAAACAUACGUGACUUUACCGAAAGAACCAAGAAGAUGAAUCCCUGCAGUCACGAAAGCUUUAAAUCGAAACAUUCUAAGUAAAUAAAUGCAAUGCAAUAGCCUAAAAAAAAGAGGAGAGAGAGGAGAGAGAGGAGAGAGAGAGGAGAAAGGAGAGAGAGGGGAGAGAGAGAUGAGAGGGAGGAGAGAGAUGAGAGGGAGACAUCAAGACGGUCAUGAAACCGGUGCCAAGAGGCCCCUCUCACCCACCUUGGCAGGGCCGAUGUCCGAUCAUCUCGGCUAGCACACGCUGAUUACCACUACUGCCACUAGAUUACUGCCGCUAGCUUGCUUCCACUGGCUUAUAUAAUGGUGGUGAUGAUGAUAAUGAUGAUUGUGAUGAUUGUGAUGAUUGUGAUGAUGGUAAUGAUGAUGAUGGUAAUGAUGAUGAUGGUGAUGAUGAUGGUGAUGAUUGUGAUGAUGAUUGUGAUGAUGGUAAUGAUGAUGAUGAUUGUGAUGAUGAUUGUGAUGAUGGUGAUUACAAUGAUAAUUGUGAUGAUGAUGGUGAUGAUGAUAGUGAUGAUUGUGAUGAUUGUGAUGAUGGUAAUGAUGAUGAUGAUUGUGAUGAUGGUAAUGAUGAUGAUGGUAAUGAUGAUGAUGGUGAUGAUGAUGAUGCUGCUGACGAUGAUAAUGAUGGUGAUGAUGGUAAUGAUGAUGAUUGUGAUGAUGAUGGUGAUGAUGGUGAUGCUAAUGAUGAUAAUGAUGAUUGUGAUAAUGAUGAUUGUGAUGAUGAUUGUGAUGACGGUGAUGAUUGUGAUGAUGCUGAUGAUUGUGAUAAUGAUGAUGAUGAUUGUGAUGAUAAUGAUUGUGAUGAUGAUGGUGAUGUUAAUGAUGAUUGUGAUGAUGAUUGUAAUGAUGAUGAUUGUGAUGGUGAUGAUUGUGAUGGUGAUGAUGAUGGGACUGCAAGAUGGGGGUUGUCAAUACCAGCUCUGCAACAGCCUGCAGGAUCUGGCAGCAAGACGGAAGAGACAGCACCUGUCACGGCCCCAUCAUCAUCAUCACAAUCUCAAUAAAAAAUAAUAAGGCUCA